AUUUUAGAUAACAUCUAUGCCUCUGAAACGCACUGUCUCUUCAGAGAAGUAUCCGAAGCUGUUUGCCGGCAAUUUCUGUAGUUCUGUAGACGGAGGUCUUGGGUUCAAGCGCUAAUUGAACACGAAAUUGAAUGCAAAACGGAUUUUACGUAUGUGUAGCUCGCUCUGCAGUUGACCCACAAAAUGAGAACCAAAAUAAAUAAGUGACACAUGGUCGAGCCCUGGGAAAUACAUUUGUACAUACAUACGUAGCCGUGCUCACUACGAGUACUAUGUUAUCAAUGUAUUAUCAGAUCAGUCACCUCCCAAAUUAUUACUCAAUGGACGGUGCGUUGCGCAACUUUAGCCGGAAAUCGAUACACCCGAUGCAUCAGAACUGUCCCAGAACUGUUGGUCUUUGGCUGCCAGGGUCAGGAUCGUACUCUCUAUCGUACCAUUUCCUGCCUGGCGAAGUGGCAUGCAGAUACGGUAUAGGCGCCCCAGCAUUAUAAGUGGAAGGUUAGUAACUUUCGGAGUCAAUGACUCAGUGGGGCGGAUAUCUUGUUUAUUGCAUUUCUCGACAAGUGCACACAAAACAGAUAAAUAUAUAUAUGUGUACAUAUAUAUAAAUAUAUAUUUGUACCCCUAUCUUAUAGUUACAGAACGGGCCUCGCCAACCCCGAACAGGCCUCGAUUCUUCAGUUCGUGACAUAUAUCAUUUAUGGCAAAGUGUCGUAUGGUAAUGCCUCCGGGGCAUAUGCAUCUUCUGACAGCCAGUCCGGCUGUCUGCCUGGCUGCCUGGCUGCCUGGCGGGCUUUCUGCGUGGGUGGGUGGCACGGACGUCUGACCGAUAUGGCGAAACGUUGUGUGUUUUCGAUGUCAUAUGUUUUCCAGCCAAAGGUUGAGCCCAAAACUUUGAUUAUGCUGUCCGGAACAGACUCCCAGCCAACAGGGAGGAGAGGAGAUACUGAAUCGUCUUGGCAGUUCGUCCACGUGCCACGUUCCUGCUCACGCAUUUUGCCUGUUUGUUUCAUUAAGAGCAUAAUUUGAGCAACUUUCGCCCCAAAAGCCGCAGCAGCAGCAGAAGACCAAGGCGAAGACGAAGGGAAGGAGGCAUAACUUUGGCUAUACUUCAGCUGCAUUGCGUGUAAUAUUUAAUUAUAAGAAGCCACCCAGCGCCAUCCAUCCAUCCAGGCAGGCAGGCAGUCAGGCAGCAUCCAGGAACCAGGAACCGUCGUCCUGCAAGUUGCAGCGCAACUUUACGGCACUUGCCAAUUGCACUUCAGUGGCAGCCUCCUUCCAUAAACGUCCUGAGAGAGAGAGAGGGCAUAAAAUAUUUAAUUGUGUCACGUAACUUUCUGCCAAACUGACGGCAAGGGUACGGAUAGUACGGGUAAGGGUAUAUACAGUAUGCAUUACAAUUCGGCUGUUGUGGGAGUGGCAUGGGAAAUGAGAUUACAAAUGUCAAGUGUUGCACGAAAUGUAUAUUCCCAUCGAAUCAGCAUCGCUGCUCCAUUUACCAUAUGAAAUAUACAGCUUUAUUCAUUUCACUUUUCUCCUCUUCGAAUACAAUGAUGUAAUUUAAUUAGUUGUUACGUUCAUAUACAAAAAAAAAUAUAUAUAUCUCGAUUUGUAUGAGAGAAAAAUGUGUAUAAGUGAAAUUCACUCAUUGCUACAUUUUUCCCCCCAAUUUCCGUUUCGUACAGAUGCCAAAUUUCAAAAUACUCUUAAAUAAAAUCCUUCUUUCGUUCAGUUUCAGUUUCAGUUUUUCCAUCUUUAUAACUAUGCUGAGCAGAGAGUUUCUUCAGUUUUCCCCAUUAAGUGGUGUGUAUUUUUGCUUUAAGUCGAGUCUUUGUAUUUAUCGUAUGUUUGCGAAUUCUUUUGCCGUUCCUUAGAGGAUGCACACGCACAUAAUAUUUAUAUAUA